rnacentral:lncRNA from 1 species
GCUUAUUUUUCCAUAAAUUUUCAUAAACUUUGUAUCAGGUUAAAAGAAAAUGGCAACAUUUUUAGUUUUUAGUAGAUUUAAAUUUUGCACCAAAUAGGUACAAUUAAUGCCAAGGAGAAGUUCUAAACCUUUAAAUAUUAUGAAAAAAGAAGAGUCCAGCUCAUAGAGAAGAAAUAUGAACAAAAAAUCCUUAUCAUGCAAAAUAUUUGUCUAGUAUGUCUUUACAUUAUUUUAGCCUUAGAUUUGAUUUGAUUUGUACUUGGUAUUUUACUUGAAGCCUUUACAAAUAUUGUUAUUGGUUUGUAUUUUAGUCAUUGUUGAAAAGGUGAUUGUUUCGUUUUGCUUAUUAUUUUGUUCUUUUACACGAAUGUAUAACUUUGCCUCUUAAGACAUAGAAAAUACUUUCGUAAAAAACAAUAAGAAAGUUGAAGCGUGUGCUAACAACAUUAGGACAAUUACAGGGCCCUGAGGUAUGUCUAUAUAGGAGACGAUAUUGGCUAAAGUCAUGAACCUUAUCACAUUUUGAAAUGUUCCUAGUUUCUUUCUCCGCUAAUACAAUUCAAAACAACAAAACUAUUUUUCUCUACAAAAAUCACAUCGAUCUCUCAUGUUAGCUGAAAAUUCCCUGUUUAGUAAAAGAGAAGUGAGAUAAGGGAAUACAUAGUAAGAAUCCAACCUAAGGGAAUUUGAGUGUCCAGCGUGCUGAAAAGGAACAACAGAGAAAUGGAAGUUAAGGAUUUCCUCCACAAAUGACCACUUAUGUGAACUCAAGAUUAUUAUUAAAUUGACCAUUAACUUUACAUCUUAAUUUCUAAUAAGCAAUAUGAUUUAUCUCCCUAGAAACCAAGUGCAGAUAUAAUGAAACUAAACUUUACUAGGAUAUCAAGGGACAUACGACAUGUACUAUUUUCCAUAACCUUCCUACCCCACUGAGUAGUGGACAUUAUUCUGAAAUGGUUUCUUGGAAGAAGAUAAAGGAGAUACAUAUACACUCCUUCAAACAAGAUUAUUAUCACAGGUGCAAAAGAUCAGUUUUGACAGGAUUGUUUCCAACUGCAAUCUGAGCAUGUCUCCAGAGAAAACUAUUCACUAGCAAUUGGA